AAUAGAUACCCGGGUAGUCCACGCCGUAAACGAUGAGUGCUAAGUGUUAGAGGGUUUCCGCCCUUUAGGUGCUGCAGCUAACGCAUUAAGCACUCCGCCUGGGGAGUACGGCCGCAAGGCUGAAACUCAAAGGAAUUGACGGGGGCCCGCACAAGCGGUGGAGCAUGUGGUUUAAUUCGAAGCAACGCGAAGAACCUUACCAGGUCUUGACAUCCUCUGACAACCCUAGAGAUAGGGCUUUCCCCUUCGGGGGACAGAGUGACAGGUGGUGCAUGGUUGUCGUCAGCUCGUGUCGUGAGAUGUUGGGUUAAGUCCCGCAACGAGCGCAACCCUUGAUCUUAGUUGCCAGCAUUCAGUUGGGCACUCUAAGGUGACUGCCGGUGACAAACCGGAGGAAGGUGGGGAUGACGUCAAAUCAUCAUGCCCCUUAUGACCUGGGCUACACACGUGCUACAAUGGAUGGUACAAAGGGCUGCAAACCUGCGAAGGUAAGCGAAUCCCAUAAAGCCAUUCUCAGUUCGGAUUGCAGG
rnacentral:rRNA from 1 species